rnacentral:lncRNA from 1 species
UUUAACAAAAUAAAUCUAACUCCCAAACAUACUAGUGUUGGCGCCAAUUACAUAUACAUAUAUAUAUAUAUGAAUAUGUAUAGCAGAGUUGCGCCAAAACAGUUGAACAAAGGAAAGUCAAAGUUUGCGCUUUGGUCAAACUUUGCGCUUCCCUUGAAGUUGCGCCAGGAGUGCCUCACAGUGUUUUUGACUUAGAGAAAUACAACACUCCACAAACUUGCGCCUUGGAUACAGUUUAGAGUCGCAACCUUUGACUUGGUCAAAGGUUGCGCUCCAACCCCACUGUGUUGCCCUCACUUAGAAAAUUCUAAGUAAAAAUUGUGUGAAGGUGAGUGUAUGGACAGGAGGCGCAACAUUUGACUUUUUAGGUCAAAUGUUGCGCUCCAUUCAUCUGUACAGUGAUUGCUUCACUUAGUCACUUUUCCAAAGAAGAAACCAAGCGCAAGUUUUGACUUUCAGUCAAACUUGGCGCCUGAUUCUUUCUUCUCACAGGGUACACUGAGGUUGAGCACUUAGGAGAAAUCUUCAGUCUUCAAAGUUGCGCCCCUACAGUGGAGAGCUCCACUGUUAUCUCUUCUCCCUCACAUGCAAACCCUAGGUUGCCCUAGACACCUG